rnacentral:rRNA from 1 species
AGACACAGGGAUUGCCUCAGUAACGGCGAGUGAAGCGGCAACAGCUCAAAUUUGAAAUCUGGUCCUUUCAGGGCCCGAGUUGUAAUUUGUAGAAGAUGCUUCGGGCGUGGCUCCGGUCUAAGUUCCCUGGAACGGGACGUCAUAGAGGGUGAGAAUCCCGUAUGUGACUGGCUGCCUCCGCCCAUGUGAAGCUCUUUCGACGAGUCGAGUUGUUUGGGAAUGCAGCUCAAAAUGGGUGGUAAAUUUCAUCUAAAGCUAAAUAUUGGCCAGAGACCGAUAGCGCACAAGUAGAGUGAUCGAAAGAUGAAAAGCACUUUGGAAAGAGAGUUAAACAGUACGUGAAAUUGUUGAAAGGGAAGCGCUUGCAAUCAGACUUGCGCGCGGUCGAUCAUCCGGGGUUCUCCCCGGUGCACUCGGCCGCGCUCAGGCCAGCAUCGGUUUCGGUGGUGGGAUAAAGGCCUUGGGAAUGUGGCUCCUCUCGGGGAGUGUUAUAGCCCUCGGUGCAAUGCCGCCUACCGGGACCGAGGACCGCGCUUCGGCUAGGAUGCUGGCGUAAUGGUUGCAAGCGACCCGUCUUGAAACACGGACCAAGGAGUUGAAGACUGCCGCGAGUGUUUGGGUGUCAAACCCAUACGCGUAAUGAAAGUGAACGGAGGUGAGAACCCUUAAGGGUGCAUCAUCGACCGAUCCUGAAGUCUUCGGAUGGAUUUGAGUAAGAGCGGUAUUCUUCUGACCCGAAAGAUGGUGAACUAUGCCUGAAUAGGGUGAAGCCAGAGGAAACUCUGGUGGAGGCUCGCAGCGGUUCUGACGUGCAAAUCGAUCGUCAAAUUUGGGUAUAGGGGCGAAAGACUAAUCGAACCAUCUAGUAGCUGGUUUCCUGCCGAAGUCUCCCUCCAGGGAUAU